CUGGAAUCUGAUUGAAACUAUGCUGCUCUCAUCUCUUUGAAUUUUCAGAAAAUCAUCUUAUCUCCGCACUUGUUACCAGUUUUAUUUUUAAUAUUUAUAGGCUUUAUUUUUUUUGUCUCCCCUCCCUGCUUGUUACCUGGCCAGGGAGGGGGGCUAUAGCAAUCCCUGGUGGUCCAGUGGUAUGUACUGAGCAGCAGGAGGGCCGGCAGCAAGAGCUUACCUUUCCAGCAGCUCCCAGUGUAAAUCUCACGGCCUGCUUGCCGUGUAGAGCAUUGCCAUGGUAACCUGUCGCAACGCUCUAAGGGCCACUGGUGUCGCGAGAUUUACACUGGGAGCUGCUUGAAAGGUAAGUAAGCUUUUGCUGCCGACCCCCCCAGGACCGCCAGGCUUGUAAUGGGCCCGGCGGUCCUGGUAUGUAUUAUCGGUAUCUCUAUUGGCCGAUACCGAUAUUGCCGAAAAUACUGAAUAUCGGCCUAUAUCAUCGGUAAAACCGAUAAUCGGUCGAUACCUAAUUCAGAGCAUCCCAAACAUGCUCAAUGGGUGACAUGUCCGGUGGGUAUGCUGGCCAUGCAAGAACUGGGAUGCUUUCAGCCUCCAGGAAUUGUGUACAGAUCCUUGCAACAUGGGGCAGUGUAUUAUCAUGCUGCAACAGGAGAUGAUGGUCAUGGAUGAAUGGCACAACGAUGGGCUUCAGGAUCUCGUCACGGUAUCUCUGUGCAUUCAAAACACCAUAAAUAAAAUGCACCUGUGUUCGUUGUCCAGAACAUACACCUGCCCAUACCAUAACCCCAUCGCCACGAUGGGCCACUCGAUCCACAACAUUGACAUCAGCAAACCGCUCACCCACAUGCUGUCUGCCAUCUGCCCUGUACAGUGAAAACCAGGAUUCUUCCUUGAAGAGAACACCUCUUUAAAGUGCCAGACGCCAUCGAAUGUGAGCAUUUGCCCACUCAAGUCGGUUACGAUGACUAACUGCAGUCAGGUCGAGACCACGAUGAGGAUGAUGAGCACGCAGAUGAGCUUCCCUGAGAUGGUUUCUGACAGUUUGUGAUGAUUCUUUGGUUAUGCAAACCGAUUGUUGCAGCAGCUGUCCGGGUGGCUGGUCUCAGACAAUACUGAAGGUGAAGAUGCUGGAUGUGGAGGUCCUGGGCUGGUGUGGUUACACAUGGUCUGCGGUUGUGAGGCCGGUUGGAUGUACUACCAAAAACUCUGAAAUGCCUUUGGAGAUGGCUUAUAGUAGAGAAAUGAACAUUCAAUUCACGGGCAACAGCUCUGGUGGGCAUUACUGCAGUCAGCAUGCCAAUUGCACGCUCCCUCAAAACUAGCGACAUCUGUGGCAUUGUGCUUUGUGAUAAAACUGCACAUUUUAGAGUGGCCAGUCGAAGGCACACCUGUGCAAUAAUCAUGCUGUCUAAUCAGCAUCUUGAUAUGCCACACCUGUGAGGAAGAUGGAUUAUCUCAGCAAAGGAGAAGUGCUC